rnacentral:lncRNA from 1 species
UUGGGGCAGGUGGUUACUCUCAUUUAGAAGUCUGCAAGCAGCAUUUGGUUUCCUGUCUUGUGUGCAGAGGAUAGACUGUGAGUUUAGCUUUGAUUUGUUUUAAAAGGGCCAACCGAAAAGACAGUGAUAAGUCCCGGAGCGCAAAGAUGAUGACAGCUUGGCUGAGUCCUCUCAUUCAAAGAAGACUGUUAAAAAGGUGGUGGUAGUGGAACAAAACGGCUCUUUUCAAGUAAAGAUUCCCAAAAAUUUUAUUUGUGAACACUGCUUUGGAGCCUUUAGGAGCAGUUACACCUGAAGCGGCACAUCCUUAUUCAUACUGGUAAGUCUUUUGCUCAUAGUCAGUAGUUUGUAGUUUUUAGUGUGUGUGUGCAGCUCUUGUUGGGUUUGUUUUUAGAGGCCGAUGUGCUCACUUCAGCAGCACACAUACUAAAAAAUGUUUCAGAGGCUGAGCGUGAGAAAUAGAGGAAGAAGAUAAGUGAAUUAGCUGGAGAGAUUUCUAGUGUCACUGAGACCAGCAGCUUGAGGACCUUUCCCAAUUAGGUGUCUGCACAUUACUAAGAAUUAAACGUUUCUGGGAAAAUAGCUGGAAUGAAGUCCCUGCCUUGUGUACCUCCUAAUACUAACUAUCUCUCUCCACCUGGGCCAGGUGAGAAGCCAUUUGAGUGUGAUAUAGUGAUAUGCGCUUCAUCCAGAAGUACCACCUGGAGCGUCACAAGCGUGUGCACAGUGGCGAAAAGCCCUACCAGUGCGAACGUUGUCAUCAGUGUUUUUCUCGGACAGAUCGAUUACUCAGACACAAACGGAUGUGCCAAGGGUGCCAGUCCAAGACUUUCCGACGGGCAGUUUUCUCUAUAGGCGCAAGGGGCCCUGGGUGGUGGGAGUGAUCAGAAGAAUUUACCGAAGAGCGCACCCUCUCUGGUGUGAUGGUGCCACCACCACCCCCGUCUGUACCUGUCCCCCUCCUGGAGGAGUGGACCCAGGAAACCAGAAGAGUGCAUCAGGGGACAGCGGCCUCAGAGCCUCAGCUCUGUAAAUAAUCUGAGACUAUGAGUAUCUCUGGGACGUUCCUCCAGCAUUCCUGGGUAGGGAAGCUAGUCCCUGGACCCUUGGCUGAGGUUAUAGGUGGGGACUGAAGGUACAGGACCAAGACUGGUGUGGCUCCCACAGCCUUGGACUCCAGCUGGCAGCUGACAUGGAAAGGAUUGGGGAGAGGGAUUUGUUUGUUCUGUUCUGUUCUUGUUUUUGUUUUUCCAAAAGCAAUUUUAGCAGCUACACUGUGGAUACAGGUAAUAUGGAGGCAUAGAGCCCUGGUCAAAGCAGGGACUAUGGCUGGUCCAGCCCUCCCCAAAAUUGAGUUUUUGGUUGCAGUUGAUCCUCAGUGUUCACAGCCCUGCACCUCACCUUCUGUUU